AUAGAGAGGCAACAUGUUGAAAUUGUCAUUUGAAGCUAAAUCAGUUGAAAUAAACAAGUCAAACAAAUUUGUAAAGAAGAAAGGGUGGUUCAAUGGGAUGCUGAAUUUAUAAUUAAAGCCUCACAGUAAUAUCAAAUUUAGAAAAUUGGGUAAACCUCAAUAAGUCUACAUGGGGUUUCUCAACUGAGUCCCCAGAAAACAGAAUGGAUCCCAAAGAUAGAAAUUCUCAAUUGAGUUUCCCAUCCGUAUCCAUUUAUAAAUUGAAGUCCAUCCAAAUUGUACAAUUUUUUCAUCAUAGGCGGCGACCCUGUUUUGUAAGAAACCUUACUUUUUCUGUAAACCAAACCUCAUGAAGAGUUUAGAUGGAAAACUCAUCUUCUGCAGGCUUACUAAAUUAGUGCGUAAAACAACAAAGUUGAAGAGCUUGCAGCUGAAGAAAGCAGAAAUUCAUGCAGCAAUUCAAAAAAAAAA